AGCGAACGCUGGCGGCAGGCCUAACACAUGCAAGUCGAACGAACCUUUCGGGGUUAGUGGCGGACGGGUGAGUAACACGCGGGAACGUGCCUUUAGGUUCGGAAUAACUCAGGGCAACUAGUGCUAAUACCGAAUGAGCCCUCCGGGGGAAAGAUUUAUCGCCUUUAGAGCGGCCCGCGUCUGAUUAGCUAGUUGGUUGAGGUAAUGGCUCACCAAGGCGACGAUCAGUAGCUGGUCUGAGAGGAUGAUCAGCCACAUUGGGACUGAGACACGGCCCAAACUCCUACGGGAGGCAGCAGUAGGGAAUCUUGCGCAAUGGGCGAAAGCCUGACACAGCCAUGCCGCGUGAAUGAUGAAGGUCUUAGGAUUGUAAAAGUCUUUCACCGGGGACGAUAAUGACGGUACCCGGAGAAGAAGCCCCGGCUAACUUCGUG
rnacentral:rRNA from 1 species